AAGGAGCACCACGAAAAACACUCCAAUUGGUGGGGUGUAAGCCGUGAGGGGUUCUCAUCUGUAGUGGACGAGAGCCGGGUGCACAACAGCAAAUGAAUCGCCAGACACUGUUGGGUCCUGAGGCAACACUCAGGCUUGUCCCAUGUUGGGCUUGAUCGGGUGCUGUCCCCCCAUCUGGGUGGUGGGGUGUGGUGUUUGAGUAUUGGAUAGUGGUUGCGAGCAU
rnacentral:misc_RNA from 1 species